AUCCCUCCCCUAGCCCCCCACCCCCAGAGGCCUCGGUGUGUGAUGUUCCCCUCCCUGUGUUCAGUAUUUGACUAAGCAUUAACCAUUCCAGCUAAGAGAUCAGUGUUUGUCAUUCAAAAUAGCUGAGGUGGUUGGGAGAGGACAGCCAGUAUUCCCCAAAAGAGGUUUAUUAGUUUCCUAGGCUGCUGUCACAAAUUGACACAGACUUAGUGACUUAAAACAACAGAAAUGUAUUCGCUUACAGCUUGGGAGACCAGAAAUCCAAGGUGAGUUUCCCUGGGUUAAAGUGAAGGUGUUGGCCCGGCUGGUUCCUUCUGGAGGCUCCGAUGGAGACUGUUCUUUGCUUUUUCAGCCUCUGGUUGCUGCUGGCAUUCCUUCGUUUGUGUUUGUGUCACUACAUUCUCUGCUUCUCUGGCACAUGGACUCUUCUUCUGCAUCCAGUUUUCCUCUGUCUUCCUCUCAUAAGCAUGCGUGUGGUAGCAUUUAGCGUCCACCCAGGCAAUCUAGAUUAAUCUCUCACCUCAAGCUCCUUAACUGAAUCACAUCUGC
rnacentral:lncRNA from 1 species